GGAAGGCAUAGAAAACAAGAUGAUUUGGGGCUGCCAAAAGAGGCUGGCUCUGCUGCAGCUGGCAGUUUGGGCCACUCGCAGUAUAUCUAACAGGAAAACAUUACUUGAUUAUGGCUGGAGGGGGUGAAUCUAACCACACGAGGCAGAGGUUGUGGCCUUGCUCUGAGAAGUUGGCUGAUACUAAUGGAAAGGCAUAGAGUGGAGGAGGAACAAUAUUGUUCAGUCCAGCACUACUUUUCAUGGAGAUGUUCUGCGCAGGCAGCAACUUGCAAAUGGCUGUUGUCUUUCUGUGGAGCUAUGCUGCCAUUUCCCUGUGGUAUGGUGUAAUUCAGCAUGUUUUAUCCACGGUGCCCUACAUCCUUGGUGAUGGGAAGGGAACUGCCUUUUUGGAGAAUCGAGGAACACUGGCUGCUGUCUGACAACUGAAGAGGCAUAAGGAUAUGUCAAACAGGCUGUUCAUUGAGGAGCUCUCAUUUGUCCAUACUUCUAGUGGAGGAUGUGCUGCCCUGAACGCAUGAAAGUGGAGUCCAUAAAACUUGGAGAAUUGCAGAUGUGGAAAAGUAAUUUCAAUUCCAGGAAAAAACAGUAAAAUAAACAUACUACUACAUACUACUUUUGAACA
rnacentral:lncRNA from 1 species